rnacentral:rRNA from 1 species
CAGCCGCCGCGGUAAUACCGGCGGCCCGAGUGGCGGUCACUAUUAUUGGGCUUAAAACGUCCGUAGCCGGGUUGGGAAGUCCUCCGGGAAAUCUGGCCGCUUAACGGUCAGAAUGCCGGAGGAUACUCCCAGCCUAGGGAGCGGGGGAGGCCGAGGGGAUUCCCGGAGUAGGGGUGAAAUCCUAUAAUCCCGGGAGGACCACCUGUGGCGAAGGCGCUCGGCUGGUACGCGUCCGACGGUGAGGGACGAAGGCCAGGGGAGCAAACCGGAUUAGAUACCCGGGUAGUCCUGGCGGUAAACGAUGCGGACUUUGUGUCGGACAAGCUAUGAGCUUGUCCGGUGCCGGAGGGAAACCGUUAAGUCCGCCGCCUGGGGAGUACGGCCGCAAGGCUGAAACUUAAAGGAAUUGGCGGG